AGACCCGAAACCCGGUGAUCUAGCCAUGGGCAGGUUGAAGGUUGGGUAACACUAACUGGAGGACCGAACCGACUAAUGUUGAAAAAUUAGCGGAUGACCUGUGGCUGGGGGUGAAAGGCCAAUCAAACCGGGAGAUAGCUGGUUCUCCCCGAAAGCUAUUUAGGUAGCGCCUCGUGAAUUCAUCUCCGGGGGUAGAGCACUGUUUCGGCUAGGGGGCCAUCCCGGCUUACCAACCCGAUGCAAACUGCGAAUACCGGAGAAUGUUAUCACGGGAGACACACGGCGGGUGCUAACGUCCGUCGUGAAGAGGGAAACAACCCAGACCGCCAGCUAAGGUCCCAAAGUCAUGGUUAAGUGGGAAACGAUGUGGGAAGGCCCAGACAGCCAGGAUGUUGGCUUAGAAGCAGCCAUCAUUUAAAGAAAGCGUAAUAGCUCACUGGUCGAGUCGGCCUGCGCGGAAGAUGUAACGGGGCUAAACCAUGCACCGAAGCUGCGGCAGCGAACGUAUCACCCAAGACAACUUUACGGAGUUGACGAUUGACGGAGCGAAGCGACGUCAAAGCGUUCAUUAAAGUCGAGUUGGCUUAGGGAUACGUUCGUUGGGUAGGGGAGCGUUCUGUAAGCCUGUGAAGGUGUGUCGUGAGGCAUGCUGGAGGUAUCAGAAGUGCGAAUGCUGACAUAAGUAACGAUAAAGCGGGUGAAAAGCCCGCUCGCCGGAAGACCAAGGGUUCCUGUCCAACGUUAAUCGGGGCAGGGUGAGUCGACCCCUAAGGCGAGGCCGAAAGGCGUAGUCGAUGGGAAACGGGUUAAUAUUCCCGUACUUGGUGUUACUGCGAAGGGGGGACGGAGAAGGCUAUGUUGGCCGGGCGACGGUUGUCCCGGUUUAAGCGUGUAGGUGUGUGUUCCAGGUAAAUCCGGUUCACUUUAACACUGAGGCGUGAUGACGAGGCACUACGGUGCUGAAGCAACAAAUGCCCUGC
rnacentral:rRNA from 1 species